GACGAACGCUGGCGGCGUGCUUAACACAUGCAAGUCGAACGCUGAAGCUCAGCUUUUGUUGGGUGGAUGAGUGGCGAACGGGUGAGUAACACGUGAGUAACCUGCCCCCUUCUUUGGGAUAACGCCCGGAAACGGGUGCUAAUACUGGAUAUUCACUGGUCUUCGCAUGGGGGUUGGUGGAAAGGGUUUUUCUGGUGGGGGAUGGGCUCGCGGCCUAUCAGCUUGUUGGUGGGGUGAUGGCCUACCAAGGCUUUGACGGGUAGCCGGCCUGAGAGGGUGACCGGUCACAUCGGGACUGAGAUACGGCCCAGACUCCUACGGGAGGCAGCAGUGGGGAAUAUUGCACAAUGGGCGCAAGCCUGAUGCAGCGACGCCGCGUGAGGGAUGGAGGCCUUCGGGUUGUGAACCUCUUUCGCUCAUGGUCAAGCCGCAACAAUGGUUGUGGUGAGGGUAGUGGGUAAAGAAGCGCCGGCUAACUACGUG
rnacentral:rRNA from 1 species